CUUGACCGACCCGAGCCACAGCGGCCGGUCCUCGGGCCGGUUCCGGCCGUAGGUGGCCAGCAGGGCCUGCGCCUC
rnacentral:antisense_RNA from 8 species